rnacentral:rRNA from 1 species
CCUAACACAUGCAAGUCGAACGGUAACAGGAAACAGCUUCGCUGUUUCGCUGACGAGUGGCGGACGGGUGAGUAAUGUCUGGGAAACUGCCAGAUGGAGGGGGAUAACUACUGGAAACGGUAGCUAAUACCGCAUAACGUCGCAAGACCAAAGAGGGGGACCCUCGGGCCUCUUGCCAUCGGAUGUGCCCAGAUGGGAUUAGCUUGUUGGUGGGGUAACGGCUCACCAAGGCGACGAUCCCUAGCUGGUCUGAGAGGAUGACCAGCCACACUGGAACUGAGACACGGUCCAGACUCCUACGGGAGGCAGCAGUGGGGAAUAUUGCACAAUGGGCGCAAGCCUGAUGCAGCCAUGCCGCGUGUAUGAAGAAGGCCUUCGGGUUGUA